AUUGAACGCUGGCGGCAUGCCUUACACAUGCAAGUCGAACGGCAGCACGGGUGCUUGCACCUGGUGGCGAGUGGCGAACGGGUGAGUAAUACAUCGGAACAUGUCCUGUAGUGGGGGAUAGCCCGGCGAAAGCCGGAUUAAUACCGCAUACGAUCCACGGAUGAAAGCGGGGGACCUUCGGGCCUCGCGCUAUAGGGUUGGCCGAUGGCUGAUUAGCUAGUUGGUGGGGUACAGGCCUACCAAGGCGACGAUCAGUAGCUGGUCUGAGAGGACGACCAGCCACACGGGGACUGAGACACGGCCCAGACUCCUACGGGAGGCAGCAGUGGGGAAUUUUGGACAAUGGGCGAAAGCCUGAUCCAGCAAUGCCGCGUGUGUGAAGAAGGCCUUCGGGUUGUAAAGCACUUUUGUCCGGAAAGAAAUCCUUGACUCUAAUACAGUCGGGGGAUGACGGUACCGGAAGAAUAAGCACCGGCUAACUACGUG
rnacentral:rRNA from 1 species